rnacentral:lncRNA from 1 species
AGAAGGAGGAGGAGGAGGAGGAGGAGGUUAUCAGUAUCUGAGCUAGAAGAGAGAGGUACCUGGUUUUAUUUGUUAUUCUGCCUUUUCUUCAGUGACUUAGCAAGAACUCCUUGGGAGGAGGGCAGUAGAUUUUCCUUUUAGGUUGGGGUUUGGGUCCAGUUCAUAGCAGUCCUUUGGUUAAGAAACUGUGCAUUUGAAGACAAGGGACUCUGAUUUGUGUUCUUCUGGAUGGGCGAUGUCAUGCCAAGGUCCCCCUCCCCUUUACUUUUAAGGGACAAUUGGAAGAAGAUAUAUUACUAUUAUUACAACCUCUACUUAAGGCCACGGUCCUUAAGACUCAUGUUAAAGGCUAAACAAAAUAUUUGUUCCAAUUUGGGUAUUUCUAUUUUUGUUGGGGAUGGGUUGUUUUGUGUGAUUUUUUUUUUUUUUUUUUUUUUUUUUAGGCUAGGGCGGAGGAGACAGUGCUUGGGCCUUUCAUGCCAGUAAUAUUAUCACCCAACCCUUCUGCUACGGUAGUGUUUGCUUAAUUUUUUUUUUUUUUUGCUGCAGCAGAGCUUGGUUGCUGCAGGGUUCAGUUACUUAAUCAGGAAUAUUUCCUAUGUGGGUAUGUCGGUAGUGAUAUGUUAUAUAUAUUUAAAGGUUUUACUUAAAAGAUUCUGAUUUGGCUUUAAGGUAUUAGUUGACAUUUAAUCUCCAGUGUGUGUCCUUCAAGGUGCACUUUUGCAAAAUAAUUGAUGGUUGCAAAUUGCGGUUUUUGUUAAAGCAGAAUAGUAAUCUGAAUUUAGGGUGAUUUAUUCUUUCAUGUUCUGUUAUAAAUGAUCAUUGUGUGAACUGUUGAGAAAAGGAGUUUCUAAAACAAAUUUAAAGCUGGUAUUUUUUUAACAUCAGUGAAUGGAACCCAUUUUUCAUAUAAAAUAUUUAUGUGUUGAUUUAGAUAGAGAAAACCUUAUUUUGGUACCUCCUUGCACCUCCUUUUAAAAAAAUGGGCUACUAUUUGUGGAUGCUGUGAACAACCAUUGAGCCGAGAAGACUGGGUGGAGUAAGGGAGCUGAAGCUGUGAAAUGCUAGAUUGCCCUUUCAUAGCAUUUUUCUCUUAUGUUUUGUAAGAUUAUUUGAUACUAAUUGUUGCUACAACAAAAGCAUUUCUCUAUAGUAAAUCUUAAAAUAUCAUGUUUUCCCAUUUUCUGCAAGAUGAGCUUUGAAUAAUUGAGUUAUAGAACAGUGUUCCUGGUCUAAAGCAGACACUUAUUGUCUAUAUAUGUGUAUAUAUUUUACAUAUAUGCACACAUGUAUUUUCUUUUUAUUGGUCUAGUCAAGUAAGUAUUAAAUGGAUAAACUAGAAAUCUUUGAGAAGUAGCAGUAGGUAUACUGCAAAAAAAGUAAGAAAACUACAAUAUGUCUUUUUAGUUUGUACUAAUACAGUCAUCUAUUUUUGAUUUUUAAAUAAUGAACAUCAAAAAUGAGGGGAAAAGGAGAAAUUGCAUUAAAGGCUCUUUAUAUAGACCUUUUCUCUUGUGUUGCCCCUUGAAAGGGACCUUUUUGUAAGGUACUGCUUAAAUAGAGAGUAGGUCACUUGAAUGGCUUGUAUCAAGGAUUUAUAGGAGUAGACAAUUUUAAAAGAAUUUUAAAUUCAUGUAAAUGAUUUUGAUAAACUUUAUGUGUCAAUUUAUUAUCUACACAUUUUUGUUCAUUUAAACUGAUUAAAAAGUAGAAGUGUUAGUAUGGUGAUGAAUGAGUGGGUUGGGAAUAAUUCACUAUUGGAUGUCUGACAUUUCCUCAUCCCUACAAUUUGUAGUUACAAAAGCACAGAAUGACGAUUUUUCAGUGAUCAAGAGCUCAAGAUAGUUUGGCUUAAGAGCAGUGUAUGUUUCUGAUAAAUGUGGCAGAAUCUUUUGCUUAAUUUGGAGGUCAACUUUUAAAAUUCUUCAUCUCAUAUUUAUAAAACUUUCAAUGAGAAAACAUUUUAGUAGGAUUAUUUGACACUUAAAAUUUUUGUUAUAUAAAUAUUUCAGGUAAAAUAUCGUACAAAGUUUGAAGAAGUUUCUGGGAAGGAAAAAUCAGUGUCUUAAAAUUCUUGGUUUUCUAAUUUAGAACAUCCAUUUUGUAUGGUCUAUAUUACAUUAAAAUGUUAAUGUUUUUUCCCCUUUUUAUUGUGUAUAUACAUAUAUAUGUGAAUGAUUUUAUCUUAUGGCUUUUUAGGUAUCUGGGGAAAAAAAAUAAGACUUUCAUUUGUAGCUUCCUCAGUAGCUGGGACUACAGGUGGGUGCCACCAGCCUGAUUGGAAACUACAUAUAAGAGCAUUGUAUGUCGCUCUAGAAAUUACUGAGAGUACACAUGUAAUCCUAGCACUCAGGAGGGUGAGGCAAGAGGAUCACUGAAUUCGAGGCCAGCCUGAGCUACAUAGUGAGCUCAAGGCCAGCCUGAACUGCAUAGCGAGAUCCUGUAUCCAAAAAAAUGAAAAAAAAUUGCCGAGAGUGGAGUUUGCUAUUAGAUUGAUGCUGACCUGGAAUUUUGGAGAAGAGCUUCCCAUUUUGGGACUUGUCUAGAG